UACGUAGGUGGCGAGCGUUGUCCGGAAUCAUUGGGCGUAAAGAGCGCGUAGGUGGCUUGUUAGGUCUGAUGUGAAACCUUGGGGCUCAACCCCAAGCCUGCAUCAGAAACCGGCUUGCUAGAGUCUGGGAGAGGAGAGUGGAAUUCCUGGUGUAGCGGUGAAAUGCGUAGAUAUCAGGAGGAACACCGGUAGCGAAGGCGGCUCUCUGGAACAGUACUGACGCUGAGGCGCGAAAGCUAGGGGAGCGAACAGG
rnacentral:rRNA from 1 species